rnacentral:rRNA from 1 species
UAUGCUAAUACCGGAUAGGUUUUUGGAUUGCAUGAUCCGAAAAGAAAAGAUGGCUUCGGCUAUCACUGGGAGAUGGGCCUGCGGCGCAUUAACUAGUUGGUGGGGUAACGGCCUACCAAGGCGACGAUGCGUAACCCACCUGAGAGGGUGACCGGCCACACUGGGACUGAAACACGGCCCAGACUCCUACGGGAGGCAGCAGUAGGGAAUUUUCCACAAUGGACGAAAGUCUGAUGGAGCAACGCCGCGUGAACGAUGAAGGUCUUCGGAUUGUAAAGUUCUGUUGUCAGGGACGAACACGUGCCGUUCGAAUAGGGCGGUACCUUGACGGUACCUGACGAGAAAGCCACGGCUAACUACGUGCCAGCAGCCGCGGUAAUACGUAAGUGGCAAGCGUUGUCCGGAUUUAUUGGGCGUAAAGCGCGCGCAGGCGGCUAUGUAAGUCUGGUGUUAAAGCCCGGAGCUCAACUCCGGUUCGCAUCGGAAACUGUGUAGCUUGAGUGCAGAAGAGGAAAGCGGUAUUCCACGUGUAGCGGUGAAAUGCGUAGAGAUGUGGAGGAACACCAGUGGCGAAGCGGCUUUCUGGUCUGUAACUGACGCUGAGGCGCGAAAGCGUGGGGAGCAAACAGGA